rnacentral:rRNA from 1 species
ACUACGGGCGGCAGCAGUGGGGGAUAUUGCACAAUGGGGGAAACCCUGAUGCAGCGACGCCGCGUGUGGGAAGACGGUCUUCUGGAUUGUAAACCACUGUCCCCAGGGACGAAAAUGACGGUACCUGGGGAGGAAGCUCCGGCUAACUACGUGCCAGCAGCCGCGGUAAUACGUAGGGAGCAAGCGUUGUCCGGAAUUACUGGGUGUAAAGGGAGCGUAGGCGGGGAUGCAAGUUGGGUGUCAAAACUACCGGACCAACCGAUAGUCGCACUCAAAACUGCAGCUCUUGAGUGAAGUAGAGGAAGGCGGAAUUCCUAGUGUAGCGGUGAAAUGCGUAGAGAUUAGGAGGAACACCAGUGGCGAAGGCGGCCUGCUGGGCUUUUACUGACGCUGAGGCUCGAAAGUGUGGGGAGCAAACAGGAUUAGAUACCCCAGUAGUC